UCCUCUGUAGUUCAGUCGGUAGAACGGCGGACUGUUAAUCCGUAUGUCACUGGUUCGAGUCCCAGUCAGAGGAGCCA
rnacentral:tRNA from 3 species